UAGAACAAUGAUAUGGUCAACCAUAUAACAUACAGAAUCUUGCUGCAGCGGGAUUAUUCAGAAUAGAAAUAUAAUUUCUUGUUUCCUUCAAUCCUCUGUUCACAUGGUAAAAUGAGUUAUAGUAUUACCAAAUAUUCAGAAUAUUUUUUCAUCGUAGUUCUAGCUUGUAAAACAUCAUACUACCCUCAGAAACCCAUUAGCAUAACCAAAAUAGCCACAGGAUGCAUUUUAAGCAAGCACAAAUGAAAUGACAAAUGAUUGUGAGGUAAAAUCAUAAUACAUAGGUGAAAACAGAUGUCUAUGAGGCCAGACUAUAUAUGAGGUGAGAGUAGUAUAUUGCAUACAGUGAUACAGACUUACCAACCUCACUGCCAGAAACAAACAGUGCAAGAAAACUGAAAAGAUGCAUCUACAAGAAUAUAGACUGUUUGGUUUGCAAAACCAGAUUAUGAAUUGUCCGUGUAAUCCUAACUGCACAAGCACCAUAGAGCGACAUUACGUCAUGCUAAACUAUCAUGGUAGAUGAAUCGUACUUAAAUAUUGAAUACGUGCAGGUACAUAUGCAAAAGUUUGUUGCUAAAAUAGUUAACAUGAUGAAGGAUGAAAAAUUAUACUAUCCACAAGGAGGUCCCAUAAUCAUAUCACAGGUAUUUCAGUUGAACAAUACUUGACCCUCGUGCUCUGUAUUAGCUGAUCUUUUUGUGCAACCCUAAAAUUUAAAAUGCAGAUCGAGAACGAAUAUAAGCUAGUCGAGGGAGCAUUUCAUUCAAGGGGACCACCUUAUGUUCGCUGGGCAGCAGCAAUGGCUGUAAACCUUCAGACCGGCGUUCCAUGGAUGAUGUGCAAACAAGACGAUGCUCCAGAUCCCAUCGUCAGUGCCCUUUCUUAUACCAUUAUGCAGGAUUGCAGAUUAUCCACAAUUUGAAAGCAGUGUAACAUUUAUUACAUGGUUAGAUUAAUACCUGCAACGGGCUCAUCUGCGGGGAAACAUUUAUUGGGCCAAAUAAGCCAAACAAGCCAGCUUUAUGGACCGAAAAUUGGAC
rnacentral:lncRNA from 1 species